CAACCUGAGCUCAGUCGUGAUUACCCGCCGAACUUAAGCAUAUCAUUCAGCGGAGGAAAAGAAACUAACUAGGAUUCCCCAAGUAAUGGCGAAUGAAAGGGGAAGAGCCCAGCGCUGAAUCUCUCGGUCUUAGGCCGCUGAGAACUGUAGCGUAUAGGUAGUGACUGUCCUGCUAUAUUGCAUUUCCGAAGUCUCUUUGAUAGGGGCCAACAUCCAGAGAGGGUGCGAGACCUGUACGGAAAGUAGUAUAGUUGGUAUGGUUACUCCUUGGAGUCGGGUUGCUUGAAAGUGCAGCCUAAAGUUGGUGAUAAACUUCAUCUAAGGCUAAAUAUCGACGCGAAAUCGAUAGCAAACAAGUACCGUGAGGGAAAGUUGCAAAGAACUUUGAAGAGAGAGUUCAAGAGAACGUGAAAUCGCUGAAGUGGAACCGGAGAGAGUUAACAUAACUUGGUAGCUAUAUCCUCUAAAGUCGCUUAACUGUGGCUCUGGGGGGUGGACGCUACCUGUUGUUGCACUGACUGCGUUGAUUGU
rnacentral:ncRNA from 1 species